rnacentral:rRNA from 1 species
ACUGCUCAGUAACACGUGGAUAACCUGCCCUUGGGUCCGGCAUAACCCCGGGAAACUGGGGAUAAUUCCGGAUAACGCAUAUAUGCUGGAAUGCUUUAUGCGUAAAAUGGAUUCGUCUGCCCAAGGAUGGGUCUGCGGCCUAUCAGGUAGUAGUGGGUGUAAUGUACCUACUAGCCGACAACGGGUACGGGUUGUGAGAGCAAGAGCCCGGAGAUGGAUUCUGAGACAUGAAUCCAGGCCCUACGGGGCGCAGCAGGCGCGAAAACUUUACAAUGCGGGAAACCGUGAUAAGGGGACACCGAGUGCCAGCAUCAUAUGCUGGCUGUCCAGGUGUGUAAAAUACACCUGUUAGCAAGGGCCGGGCAAGACCGGUGCCAGCCGCCGCGGUAACACCGGCGGCCCGAGUGGUGAUCGUGAUUAUUGGGUCUAAAGGGUCCGUAGCCGGUUUGGUCAGUCCUCCGGGAAAUCUGACGGCUUAACCGUUAGGCUUUCGGGGGAUACUGCCAGGCUUGGAACCGGGAGAGGUAAGAGGUACUACAGGGGUAGGAGUGAAAUCUUGUAAUCCCUGUGGGACCACCUGUGGCGAAGGCGUCUUACCAGAACGGGUUCGACGGUGAGGGACGAAAGCUGGGGGCACGAACCGGAUUAGAUACCCGGGUAGUCCCAGCCGUAAACGAUGCUCGCUAGGUGUCAGGCAUGGCGCGACCGUGUCUGGUGCCGCAGGGAAGCCGUGAAGCGAGCCACCUGGGAAGUACGGCCGCAAGGCUGAAACUUAAAGGAAUUGGCGGGGGAACAC